GGGGAAUCUUCCGCAAUGGGCGAAAGCCUGACGGAGCAACGCCGCGUGAGUGAAGACGGCCUUCGGGUUGUAAAGCUCUGUUAUACGGGACGAAAAGUCUUGUGGUUAAUACCCAUAAGAAGUGACGGUACCGUAAGAGAAAGCCACGGCUAACUACGUGCCAGCAGCCGCGGUAAUACGUAGGUGGCAAGCGUUGUCCGGAAUUAUUGGGCGUAAAGGGCGCGCAGGCGGCUUCUUAAGUCUGUCUUAAAAGUGCGGGGCUUAACCCCGUGAUGGGAUGGGAACUGGGAAGCUCAGAGUAUCGGAGAGGAAAGCGGAAUUCCUAGUGUAGCGGUGAAAUGCGUAGAUAUUAGGAGGAACACCAGUGGCGAAAGCGGCUUUCUGGACGAAAACUGACGCUGAGGCGCGAAAGCCAGGGGAGCGAACGGGAUUAGAUACCCCGGUAGUCCUGGCCGUAAACGAUGGGUACUAGGUGUAGGAGGUAUCGACCCCUUCUGUGCCGGAGUUAACGCAAUAAGUACCCCGCCUGGGGAGUACGGCCGCAGGGUUG
rnacentral:rRNA from 1 species